rnacentral:misc_RNA from 1 species
GAUGAAGAACGCAGCGAAAUGCGAUAAGUAGUGUGAAUUGCAGAAUUCGGUGAAUCAUCGAAUCUUUGAACGCACAUUGCGCCCCUUGGUAUCCCGAGGGGCAUGCCUGUUCGAGCGUCAUUUCACCACUCAAGCCUGGCUUGGUGUUGGGCGACGUCCUCUUUGGGGACGCGCCUCGAAACGCUCGGCGGCGUGGCACCGGCUUUAAGCGUAGCAGAAUCUUUCGCUUUGGAAGUCGGGGCCCCGUCUGCCGGAAGACCUGCUCGCAAGGUUGACCUCGGAUCAGGCAGGGAUACCCGCUGAACUUAAGCAUAUCAAUAAGCGGAGGA